rnacentral:rRNA from 1 species
AGAAAGCAAAUGCGAUUCCCUGAGUAGCGGCGAGCGAAACGGGAUUAGCCCAAACCAAGAGGCUUGCCUCUUGGGGUUGUAGGACACUCUGUACGGAGUUGCAAAAGAACGAGGUAGAUGAAGAGGUCUGGAAAGGCCCGCCAUAGGAGGUAACAGCCCUGUAGUCAAAACUUCGUUCUCUCCUGAGUGGAUCCUGAGUACGGCGGAACACGUGAAAUUCCGUCGGAAUCCGGGAGGACCAUCUCCCAAG